CAAAGCUUUUAAUCGGUUAAUGGGGAAGGUGGACGGCGGGUAUGCAAGAUCAAAAUGGCUUUGUUUCUCAGUCUGAAGUGGAAAAGGGAAACCUGAAAAAAAAGAAAAAGAAAGUAUGCUUUAUGGCUCUGGACCUCCUCUGGACGCUUGGCACCUCCCCCUCUUCGUGUCUGUACUUCCCGCUCCCGUCUGCUGU